UCCAGUUUAUCCUGCUGGAGGCUGCGGCUAUUUGGUUUGCUCUUAGGCAUGCAAGUUUCCCGAAAGGAAGCGCACGGCUCAGUAACACGUAGCUAACCUACCCUUAAGUCAUGGAUACCCUCGGGAAACUGAGGCUAAACCACGAUAAGAGAUUUUUUCUGGAAUGAAUUAUCUCUCAAACUCGCGCUUAAGGAUGGGGCUGCGGCUGAUUAGGUUGUUGGCAGUGUAAUGGACUACCAAGCCAGAGAUCAGUAAGGGCUCUUAGCGGAGGUGCCCUGAGAAGGAAUCUGAGACACUAUUCCUAGCCCUACGGAGUGCAGCAGCCGGGGAUCUUUUGCAAUGUACGAAAGUAUGACAAAGCGAACCAAAGUGUUUUUCCAUUUGGAAAAACUUUUGCUUAAUGUAAAAAGUUAGGCGAAUAAGGACUGGGCAAGACCGGUGCCAGCCGCCGCGGUAAUACCGGCAGUCCAAGUCGUGCCAAAUUUAUUGGGUCUAAAACAUCCGUAGCUCGUUGUAUAAGUCUCUUGUGAAAUCUUGUAUCUUAAGUACAAGGCGUGCAAGAGAUACUGUAUAGCUUGAGGCCAGGAGACGCAAGAAGUACUGUCGAGGUAGUGGUAAAAUACGUUAAUCUCGACUGGACUAACAAUGGCGAAGGCAUCUUGCGAGAAUGGUUCUGACAGUGAGGGAUGAAGGCUAGGGUCGCAAAACGGAUUAGAUACCCGUGUAGUCCUAGCAGUAAACACUGCACACUAAACAUUGGUUUCUCCUCGAGAGAAAUCAGUGCUGUAGGGAAGCCGAAGAGUGUGCUACCUGGGAAGUAUAGUCGCAGGACCGAAACUUAAAGGAAUUGGCGGGGGGAUACUACAACUGGUGACGCGUGCGGUUCAAUUAGAUUCUACACCCUGAACCUCACCAGGAGCGACAGCAGAAUGAAGGUCAGUCUGAAGGGCUUACCUGACACGCUGAGAGGAGGUGCAUGGCCGACGUCAGCCUGUGUUGUGAAAUGCUCUGUUAAAUCAGAUAACAGGCGAGACCCGUGUGUAUAGUUGCUACGUUAAGGGCACACUAUACAGACUGCCUUGGCAACAAGGAGGAAGGUGCGGGCUACGUUAGGUGAGUACGCCCCGAAUCCCCUGGGCAACACGCGCGCGGCAAUGCUGUAUGCAAUGAGAUGCAACUCCGAGAGGAGAAGCUAAUCCCAAAAUGUACAGCCUAGUUCAGAUCGAGGCUUGCAACUCAGCCUCGUGACGCUGGAAUCAGUAGUAAUCGUUUGUUAUCAGCGAACGGUGAAUAUGUCCCUGUUCCUUGCACACACCGCCCAUCAAACUAACCGAGUUAUGUUUAGUUGAAGCUGAUUGAAGAAACUGAGCAUGACAAGGUAAGUUAAGUUGACACAAGGUA
rnacentral:rRNA from 1 species